rnacentral:rRNA from 1 species
UAUACUGCUCCACACCAGGCGACGAUCGAAUGUUGUCGAGACGCCACCAAUGGGAAUUGAGACUCGCCCAGCCUCCUACGGAGGCAGCAGUAGGAAUAUUGCACCAUGGAGGAAACUCUGAUGCAGCGACGCCGCGUGAGUGAUGAAGCUCGGUGUAAAGCUCUGUUCUCAGGAAAAAGAAAGUGAUGUACUGAGAGAAAGGACGGCUAACUCGUGCCAGCAGCCGCGGUAAGACGAGGGGUGCAGCGUGUUCGGAAUUAUUGGGCGUAAAGCGGGUGUAGGUGGAUCUAUAAGUCAGGAGUGAAAGCCCCGAGCUUAACUUGGGAAGUGCUUUUGAUACUGUAGAUCUUGAAUGUGGGAGAGGAUCGUGGAAUUCCAGGUGUAGUGGUGAAAUACGUAGAUAUCUGGAGGAACACCGGUGGCGAAGGCGGCGAUCUGGCCCAACAUUGACACUGAGACCCGAAAGCAUGGGGAUCAAACAGGAUUAGAUACCCUGGUAGUCCAUGCCAUAAACGAUGAUCACUUGGUGUUGGAGGUAUUGACCCCUUCAGUGCCGAAGCUAACGCGUUAAGUGAUCCGCCUGGGGAGUACGGCCGCAAGGUUAAAACUCAAAGAAAUUGACGGGGGCCCGCACAAGUGGUGGAGCAUGUGGUUUAAUUCGAUGCAACGCGAAAAACCUUACCUACAC